GGGAACAAGUUGGAGAAAUUGUUGGCUUUCCUAUCAAAGCUGCUGAAGGAGAAUUGACUUUGGAGAAAGUCAUAGAUUAUGGUUUCGACGAUUUUGUGGACAGAUUCGUCCUGGUGUCAGAAUAUGCCACCAAAGAAAACGAUUUGGAAGAAGCCUUAAACACUAUGAUGUCCGAAUGGAGUGAUGUCAAAUUUAAAAUAGAACCUUACAGUGAUACUGGUACUUUUAUUCUGUCAUCAAUCGAUGAAAUUCAAGUUCUUCUUGAUGACCACAUCGUCAAAACUCAAACCAUGAAGUCAUCACCUUAUAUAAAACCGUUUGAAAGCAU